CUUGGCCGGCCACCCCCUCCUCCUUUGCUUCUCAUUUUUGACUCUCCACUCCUUCCACCACUCACUCACACUCCUCUCCUACCUCUCCCCCACGAAAUCCUGCUCCACCUAGCUACCAUGGCCGGCCAUGGCCAUGGAAAGGCACCUAGAUGAAGCUCCCCUCCUCCAUCAAGCUCAUCCUCACCAUGAGAGCAUCCCUCUCACUCUCUUCUCCCCUAACCCUAGCUGAAUCCCCCUCUAUUUCUCCUUUCUCCUCUCACAAGAUUGGAUCUUGAUGCAGGUGCAUGUUGGUCCAAGCAUGGAGAAGGUUGAGCAAUCCUCAGAUCUGAAACUCUUGACCCAAAUCCAAAUCGAGUGAUUCAAAGUUCCACAGAUAGGUAUUAAAAAGCUCUACAACUUGGCGUUGGUCUCAUCCUCAAAUUCGUUACGGAUUUUGCAUGAUCAAGAUCUGGUCAGAUCUGACUUUGUCGAAUUAAACCAGGAGCCUGGAAACCAAUUUUUGAAUGAAACCAAUUGGGGGAUAAUUGGUUUAUACCAUGGUGAUAACCGAGAGAGGCAAUUGCUAAAGUUGUGAUGCACUCAUACCUUUACUAGAUGCGAACAAUUCCGGAGAAGAAGAAGAAGUGGAAUCGGACGAGGAUUUUAUUUAUAUAUGUUGUUGGAAUUCUUAUAUUGAUGGAGUUGAAGAAGUACAGGGACAAAUAAGCCAAG